rnacentral:rRNA from 1 species
GAUGAACGCUGGCGGCGUGCCUAAUACAUGCAAGUCGAGCGAACAGAUAAGGAGCUUGCUCCUUUGACGUUAGCGGCGGACGGGUGAGUAACACGUGGGUAACCUACCUAUAAGACUGGAAUAACUCCGGGAAACCGGGGCUAAUGCCGGAUAACAUGUUGAACCGCAUGGUUCUACAGUGAAAGGCGGCUUUGCUGUCACUUAUAGAUGGACCCGCGCCGUAUUAGCUCGUUGGUGAGGUAACGGCUCACCAAGGCAACGAUACGUAGCCGACCUGAGAGGGUGGUCGGGCACACUGGAACUGAGACACGGUCCAGACUCCUACGGGAGGCAGCAGUAGGGAAUCUUCCGCAAUGGGCGAAAGCCUGACGGAGCAACGCCGCGUGAGUGGUGAAGGUCUUCGGAUCGUAAAACUCUGUUAUUAGGGAAGAACAAAUGCGUAAGUAACUGUGCGCGUCUUGACGGUACCUAAUCAGAGAGCCACGGCUAACUACGUG